rnacentral:tRNA from 1 species
GGGGUUGUGGCUCAGCGGUAGAGCGCUUGCCUCUCACGCACGAGGUACUAGGUUCAAUCCUCGGCACCA